UAUAAUAUUUAACUUUUCGUCUUAUUAAAAAAAUUAUGAUUAAUAAUUUUAUUUUUAUUAGAUAAUAAAACAUGAAUAGUACUUUAUGUGUGACUAAUUUUUUAAAAAAUUUUUCAAAAUUUUCAAAUAAGACGGAUGGUCAAAUGUUCGACAUAAAAACCAAAAGUU
rnacentral:pre_miRNA from 1 species